AGAGGGAUGUUUUGAUUUUUAUGAACUGUUUAUCCUGCAGAUGACGAUCCUCUGUACAGCAUCAGCACCAAUCAAACUUAGAUAAAGACCAGAAAUGACCAGCAAGCCACCUGUAUUGUUUUUGUGUGAUCCUCAGAAUCCAUAAGGAUAUCAGGAAGACAGUGGACCUCUGUCAGAAAGUGGAGGCAGCAGGUGUGUCGUGGAUUACGGUUCACGGUCGUACAGCUGAUGAGAGGCACCAGGCCGUUCACUACGAUGCCAUUAAGUCCAUCAAGAGCAGCCUGUCCAUCCCCGUCAUCGCCAACGGAGACAUCAAGAACAUGCAGGACGUUGAGUCCACCCGUGACCUCACAGGCGUGGAUGGUGUGAUGGCUGCCCGUGGGUUGCUGGCCAAUCCUGCCAUGUUCGCAGGGUUUGAGGAGACCCCGCUUCAGUGUGUUUGGGACUGGGUAGACGUUGCUUAAAUAAACCAGUGCUGUUUAUGAUUAAUAUGUAUACACUGUUAUGUCUAGACAAAUUGGUAUGCAGCAUUUGUAGUGCCUUUAAAAUACUUAAUCAAUUCAUCCGGCAUGACCAUCUUGUCUCUAAAGCCAGUGUAUUGUAGGUGUAUGGCUUUGAAAAUGUAUGUAUUUAGUAAGUGCUUUUAUCCAAUAGUUCGUGUUUACAUUUAAUAAAUUAGCAGACGCUAUAAGCAAAAUGACUUUAAAAGAGCCUUUAAAGGGAUAGUUCAUACCCAAAAUGAAAAUUAAGGUCAUCAUUUACUUAUCCUUAGAUUGUUUCAUAAUUGUAUAAAUUACUUUGUUCUGAUGAACACAGAGAAAGAUAUUUGGAAGAAUGUUAGCAGUUUACAGUUGAGGAACAUCAUUGACUACCAUGGUAGGAAAAAUUAAAUGGUAGUCAAAGGUACCCAAGAACCCCAGUUUGUUUUCCUAAAUUAAUGGAAAUGUCAAAUUUUCUGUGCAACAAAACAGAAAAAUACACAAUCAUUUUUUUCUACUAUGGUAGUGAAUGAUUUCCCCGAACUAAAAAUUGCUGACAUUCUUCCAAAUAUAUUUCUCGGUGAUCUACAGAACAUAGAAAUUUAGGUUUGAAACAACCUGAGUGUGAGUAAAGUAUGAUAGGAUUUUCCAUUUUGGGUGAAGUGUCCCUUUAACAUUAUAUCUGAAGUGAUUUGUAAGUGAUAUUCCAAAAACCAGAGGCUCGUGGGUUUAAGUCUCUGGUAAUAGUCAUAUGACUUAGAAGGGAAAACAGUUAUUAAGAUUUAAUGUAUCUGUUAAUAUUCUCUGGGAACUCGGGGUGGAGACGCACUCCAACAUCUCCCCGUUUUUUCAGUUCCACUCCUGCCUUCACUUGUGGGACAUCUAUCCUGCCCUGAUUGGUCGAUUGUCAGCGUUCUUACCUCUGAUUCAAUGCUGGUGUGUGUCGGUUUGGUCUCUCUGCCCCUUUUUGGGACAUAAGUCUGAUCUUUUGGAUCCAGAUAUUCUGGUAUUCACGCCAUCCGGCCUUCAUGUGCAGGUCAGCCUGGCCUCGUAGCCACAAAGAAAGGCUGAAUUAAAUGUGGUGGUACUUCAGCAGGUAGUAGUAUAUUCUCAUAUGUUUGUAUGAAUCUAGUCAAUGUAGUCUAGCCCCUAUAUGAUGUAAGACACAUGUUGGCAGAAACAUUUUGGACAUUUCAUAAAAAUUUACCCUGGAAGUUGGAAAAUCCAACUGCAGUUCAUGGUGGUGUAAUUGUUUGGUGGUAUGGAAGGUUUGGUGGUCCAAAAAAUUAGGCUGGAGUUGAUUAUAUACGUUUCUCAGACAUAAAGUAUAGACCUAUAUAAUUAGUUUUUCACAGUAUAUAAGCAUUGUUGCAAACAUCUACUGGGAGGCUGUAAGUUACCAGAAGUUUUUGUAGCCUGCAGUGACCAGUGGUCUGGUGGUAAUGUGCUCUUAUCCCUGGCUUUGUAGCUCAGGGUUCAAAUCCAGCUUUGGGUGAUCUCUCACAUCUCUUAUGUGGUCCAGGUAUGUGUAAAAAAAGAUAAAAUUACCAGGAGAUUUGAUUCUGACAUGCAGAGUCCUGUGGCUGAGGGGUAAGAAUCACUGGGUUUGGAUUUGGUAGUUGUGGUUUCAAGGCUUACUUUGUGUUAUUGCUCACAUUUCAUGUGUUUCAGGUUUCAAUAACAAGGAUAAAAUUACCAGGAGGACUCCUUCAGUCAUGCAGUGCCCAAUGGCUCAGUGUUAAGGAACACUACUCUAAGAUCAAGAGGUCUGGGGUUUGAGACCAGAUAUAGACCUGCAUCUGAAGGCUGGGUUCACUAAGAGUGGAGGAGAUGACCAUUGGUGGCGGAGGAGACGACCAGCGGUGGCGGAGGAGACGACCAGCGGUGGCGGAGGAGACGACCAGCGGUGGCGGAGGAGACGACCAGCGGUGGCGGAGGAGACGACCAGCGGUGGCGGAGGAGACGACCAGCGGUGGCGGAGGAGACGACCAGCGGUGGCGGAGGAGACGACCAGCGGUGGCGGAGGAGACGACCAGCGGUGGCGGAGGAGACGACCAGCGGAAAAUGCACUCCAUAAAUUGGGGCUGGGAUUUGGUUCCUUGUUCCUGCUUGAUCUGUUUCCUGUGGUGAUUCCAGUCAUGCGCUGCCUUUGAACCCUAGACCUUCUGAUCUAGUUCCAGUGCUCUUCCAACUGAGCCAUUGGGUCCUUCACAUAUGUGACAGUUCUCCGGGCGUAUUUAUCUUUUUUUUAAACAAGUUGCGCAUAAGAGAUGUGAUUGAACAUUUUGAGUGUCUGAGCCAAGGAUUGAACCUGUUAUCACUUGGUUAAGUCUCAGAACUUGUACCCCUCAGCCACUGGGCCCUGAAUGUUAUACACAGUUCUCCGGGCGUAUUUAUCUUUUUUUUUAAACGAGAUGCGCACAAGAGAUGCGAUUGAACAAUUAAAGUGUCAGUGACCAGCCUUGAACCCUUGACUUCAUGUUCUCAUUGUAAGUGCUCAUCCUCCAGAGCCACCGUGCAAGGGACGCUUGUAACAGUUCUCCAUGCGGAUAUAUCUGUUAUUCUUUAAACCAAGACUGAACAGGAGAGACAUAAAGUGUCAGAGCCUGGGAUUUAACUCAAGACCAUUUGCACUAGUGUCAGCGCUCAUAUCGCUGAGCCAUUGAGCCGAACUCAAUUGUGUAGUUCUGAUUUAACUGAACUGACUUUUUAAGAUGAGGUCUUAAAAACUGCUGGAUUUGUCUAAUGCAAUGUCAAGGCUUAAAACAGUGAGAUUUGAACCAAGACCAUUUAAACCCUGAGUUGUUGAGUUUGCAAAGGUUUGAUAUGAUUUUCUCUGGGUUCUUUGUUUUCUGUGUAUUUUCUGUAGAGUUUUGAAUGAGAUUUAAAGACUUUCAGGUAAGAAAGGCAAGUUUAACCCCCUGAGCCAAUGUGUUUUUAGUAUGUGUUUGAAAGUCAAAGAACCCAGAACAAAUCCAAAGUUUUAUAUUUAGAAAACAGAACAUCCAACCCCUAAACCAUCAAACUCAAUACUUGGGUAAUGUUUUUUUUAAGUAAUGGUGCGUAAAAGCAGUGUGAUAUCAACCAAGAUGUUUAAGAAAAGGAAUGAAGCUGUCAAACUCUGAAUCAAUGAAUUUGUGAUAACUGAUAUGGUUGUUGAUAUUCAAAUAAGACUUUCAAGUUCAAGCCCAGUGAAUUUGCACUAGAUCAACAUGGAUUAUGGGUAUUUAUAUGACAGUUUUUUACUUUAAAGCAUAAAAAUAAAACACUAACCCUUUCUCCAAACAGGUAGUGGUCUAGGUUUUGUUUAAACCAGUUACUUUGCAUUGGCACCUAUUGUAUUAUUGUUGCCUAAUCACUUUGUAAAUCGCUUUGGAUUAAAGUGUCUGCUUAAAUGACAAUUGACACAAAUCACCAUACAGGCCUGUUCAUAUAAUAAAUGUAAAGAUGAUGCGAUUUAACCCACACUUCAAAGUAUGAAAGACAAGCAUUCUUCCGAGAUGUUUAAUUAACACAACAUUUAGUUUGUGAUUUGUAUUCAAGUAUGAACAACCUCAGGAUGCAAGUAUAUACUUUUUUUCCCACCUUUAAAUCUGUCAGAAUGAAUAAUUUACUGGAACGAUUCAUAGAUUUUAUAGAAUUUUUUAACUUUAAUUUUUAAAAUCAGAGAAUAACAG